rnacentral:rRNA from 1 species
CUACGUGCCAGCAGCCGCGGUAAUACGGAAGGUCCAGGCGUUAUCCGGAUUUAUUGGGUUUAAAGGGAGCGUAGGCGGACGAUUAAGUCAGCUGUGAAAGUUUGCGGCUCAACCGUAAAAUUGCAGUUGAAACUGGUUGUCUUGAGUGCACGCAGGGAUGUUGGAAUUCAUGGUGUAGCGGUGAAAUGCUUAGAUAUCAUGAAGAACUCCGAUCGCGAAGGCAUAUGUCCGGAGUGCAGCUGACGCUGAGGCUCGAAAGUGCGGGUAUCGAACAGGAUUAGAUACCCUGGUAGUCCGCACAGUAAACGAUGAAUACUCGCAGUAUGCGAUAUAAUGUAUGCUGCCAAGUGAAAACGUUAAGUAUUCCACCUGGGGAGUACGCCGGCAACGGUGAAACUCAAAGGAAUUGACGGGGGCCCGCACAAGCGGAGGAACAUGUGGUUUAAUUCGAUGAUACGCGAGGAACCUUACCCGGGCUUGAA